rnacentral:ncRNA from 1 species
UACCUGGUUGAUCCUGCCAGUAGUCAUAUGCUUGUCUCAAAGAUUAAGCCAUGCAAGUCUAAGUACGAGCUCUCGUACAGUGAAACUGCGAAUGGCUCAUUAAAUCAGUUAUGGUUCAUUUGAUCGUACAGUUUACUUGGAUAACUGUGGUAAUCUAGAGCUAAAACAUGCGAGAAGCGCCGA